rnacentral:rRNA from 1 species
GAUGAACGCUGGCGGCGUGCUUAACACAUGCAAGUCGAACGAACCUUCGGGUUAGUGGCGGACGGGUGAGUAACGCGUGAGAAUCUGCCCUCAGGAGGGGGAUAACGGCUGGAAACGGCCGCUAAUACCCCAUAUGCCGAGAGGUGAAAUGAAUUUCGCCUGAGGAUGAGCUCGCGUCUGAUUAGCUAGUUGGUGUGGUAAAGGCUCACCAAGGCAUCGAUCAGUAGCUGGUCUGAGAGGAUGAUCAGCCACACUGGGACUGAGACACGGCCCAGACUCCUACGGGAGGCAGCAGUGGGGAAUUUUCCGCAAUGGGCGCAAGCCUGACGGAGCAACGCCGCGUGAGGGAUGAAGGCCUCUGGGCUGUAAACCUCUUUUAUCAAGGAAGAAGAUCUGACGGUACUUGAUGAAUAAGCCACGGCUAAUUCCGUGCCAGCAGCCGCGGUAAUACGGGAGUGGCAAGCGUUAUCCGGAAUUAUUGGGCGUAAAGCGUCCGCAGGCGGUCUUGAAAGUCUGUUGUUAAAGCGUGGA